AGAACGAACGCUGGCGGCAUGCCUAAUACAUGCAAGUCGAACGAACACUUCGGUGUUAGUGGCGCACGGGUGCGUAACGCGUGGGAAUCUGCCCUUGGGUUCGGAAUAACAGUUGGAAACGACUGCUAAUACCGGAUGAUAUCGAAAGAUCAAAGAUUUAUCGCCCAGGGAUGAGCCCGCGUAGGAUUAGCUAGUUGGUGAGGUAAAGGCUCACCAAGGCGACGAUCCUUAGCUGGUCUGAGAGGAUGAUCAGCCACACUGGGACUGAGACACGGCCCAGACUCCUACGGGAGGCAGCAGUAGGGAAUAUGGACAAGUGGGCG
rnacentral:rRNA from 1 species